rnacentral:rRNA from 1 species
AACGCGAAGAACCUUACCUGGGCUCGAAAUGCAGUGGACCGGGGUGGAAACAUCCCUUUCCGCAAGGACUGCUGCAUAGGUGCUGCAUGGCUGUCGUCAGCUCGUGUCGUGAGAUGUUGGGUUAAGUCCCGCAACGAGCGCAACCCUUAUUGCCAGUUGCCAUCAUUUAGUUGGGAACUCUGGCGAAACUGCCCCGGAUAACGGGGAGGAAGGUGGGGAUGACGUCAAGUCCUCAUGGCCUUUAUGUCCAGGGCUACACACGUGCUACAAUGGUCGGUACAAACCGUCGCAAACCCGCGAGGGGGAGCUAAUCGGAAAAAGCCGGCCUCAGUUCGGAUUGGAGUCUGCAAUUCGACUCCAUGAAGCUGGAAUCGCUAGUAAUCGCGGAUCAGAACGCCGCGGUGAAUACGUUCCCGGGCCUUGUACACACCGCGAGC